AUACAUUCAGAUUAUACUCUUUUCAGAAUGACAUAUUGUUUAUACAUUACUGUAAAUUGUGACUAUUUGUAUAUUAGGGUCCACAUCGGGUACAUCUAACCUGCGUCAUGUUAUCUUGAACACUGUUCCAAUCAAAGCUCAUAGGCGGGCCAGAAAGGUGUGCCUGGUCACUAAAGAGCAACGAAGUGAGUAUGUUGCUCUAAAAAGGGUCCCAAACUGUCAAUUCUGUCAUGCAAAGAAGUUUGAAUAUGAACCUCCAGGAUUUUGCUGUAACAGUGGUUCAAUAAGGUUGACAUCUCAUAAAAUGCCAACUGAAUUAUCGGAGUUAUACUUUGGAAAUACUGAAGAAUCUGAAAAUUUUCGAACUUAUAUUAGAACAUACAAUAACAUGUUUGCAUUUACUUCACUUGGUGUCAAGUAUGAUAAAGAGCUAGCGAGAAGAAAUUGUGGUAUCUACACAUUUAGAGUCCAGGGACAGAUGUAUCAUUUUAUAGAUGAUUUAGUUCCUUCCAAUGAAAAACCUAGGAAUUUAUA